AUAUGACGUUGAAGAGUGCUGGAUCGUCGCCAGCUGGUCGCCAAGUGAUCAGUGCCAGGAGGAGGCAGGCGUGAAAGGCAAAUCCAACAGCUGACACUAGGGAAUUGAAGCUUGCACGAGAAACAGGGAAGGAGCAUUGAUAGUGUUACACCUGCUACUGCCUGGAGUAAUGCAAAACUUAAGAAGCUUAGGCCCACGGUUGAUGCACCUCCCAGAGCACAUACCACAUAAGCCUGACGAAUAAAUUAUUUUAUUUUAUUCUCUUCCACUCAUUCAUUAGGAAAUCAGUGGUGCAAAUUACCUCAGUGAAAUCACCCAUUAUAAAUCCUUGCUCGAGUCCAAUAAAGAGUGUAAGUGGAGCA